GAUGAACGCUGGCGGCGUGCUUAACACAUGCAAGUCGAACGGUGAAGCAGGAGCUUGCUCUUGUGGAUCAGUGGCGAACGGGUGAGUAACACAUGAGCAACCUGCCCCUGACUCUGGGAUAAGCGCUGGAAACGGCGUCUAAUACUGGAUAUGUGAUGUGACCGCAUGGUCUGCAUCUGGAAAGAAUUUCGGUUGGGGAUGGGCUCGCGGCCUAUCAGCUUGUUGGUGAGGUAAUGGCUCACCAAGGCGUCGACGGGUAGCCGGCCUGAGAGGGUGACCGGCCACACUGGGACUGAGACACGGCCCAGACUCCUACGGGAGGCAGCAGUGGGGAAUAUUGCACAAUGAGCGGAAGCCUGAUGCAGCAACGCCGCGUGAGGGAUGACGGCCUUCGGGUUGUAAACCUCUUUUAGCAGGGAAGAAGCGAAAGUGACGGUACCUGCAGAAAAAGCACCGGCUAACUACGUGCCAGCCGCCGCAGUAA
rnacentral:rRNA from 1 species